CCACGUUGCCAUGACAACAGGAAGGGAUGGGGGGGACUCAUAUCCCGAUUUAUGAAGUGAGAUGGAAUCGUCCUGCUGUAUUAUUGCAAAAGCUUUCAUAAAGGUUUUUUACAUCACUCCUCCUGCUGUCUCUCCACCGCUCUCCUCACUACCCCUUUCUCUCUCUUUAAUAAAGCACCGGUAAUGGAAAAAAAGGUUACGGAUGACACCGCUGGCUCCGGCUGUCAAUCAAAUGAGACGGUUCAAAGAUGGCUGACAGGAAAGAGAGGAAACACACACCGGCUCUGACGGACGACACACUCGCAUCCCUCUCUCUGUGAAACGACAGGAGGAGAUGAAAAGAUGAAAUGAGAGAGUCACGUCCAUCGAUCUACUCUUCUGUUAUAUCCCAGUCAUGAGGGAGCUCCUGGAGACCUUUCUCGCUUUCCCUCUGAUGUUACAAAGCCCUGACACUGGAGACUCCUUCCACAUGAUACCGG